UACGUAGGUGGCGAGCGUUGUCCGGAAUUACUGGGCGUAAAGAGCGCGCAGGCGGCUGGUCAAGUCCGACGUGAAAUCUCCCGGCUUAACUGGGAAAUUGCAUCGGAAACUGAUCGGCUUGAAGGUGGGAGAGGGUAGCGGAAUUCCCGGUGUAGUGGUGAAAUGCGUAGAUAUCAGGAGGAACACCGGUGGUGUAGACGGCUCUCUGGACCGUAACUGACGCUGAGGCACGAAAGCGUGGGUAGCAAACAGG
rnacentral:rRNA from 1 species